rnacentral:rRNA from 1 species
GAUGAACGCUAGCUACAGGCUUAACACAUGCAAGUCGAGGGACCGGCGCACGGGUGAGUAACACGUAUCCAACCUGCCCUUUACUCGGGGAUAGCCUUUCGAAAGAAAGAUUAAUACCCGAUAUAAAGGAUGGGGAGGCGUUCGAUUAGGUUGUUGGUGAGGUAACGGCCCACCAAGCCUUCUAUGGAAAGGGGUUCUGCGAGGAAGGUCCCCCACCUUGUAACUGAGACCCGACCCACACUCGUACCGACGGCAGCAGUGAGAACUAUUGGUCAAUGGGCGUUAGCCUGAACCAGCCAAGUAGCGUGAAGGAUGAAGGCUUAUGGGUCGUAAACUUCUUUUAUAUAAGAAGAUGUAUUAUAUGAAUAAGGAUCGGCUAACUCCGUGCCAGCCGCCGCGGUAAUAC